GACGAACGCUGGCGGCGUGCUUAACACAUGCAAGUCGAACGGAAAGGCCCUGCUUUUGUGGGGUUCUCGAGUGGCGAACGGGUGAGUAACACGUGAGUAACCUGCCCUUGACUUUGGGAUAACUUCAGGAAACUGGGGCUAAUACCGGAUAGGAGCUCCUGCUGCAUGGUGGGGGUUGGAAAGUUUCGGCGGUUGGGGAUGGACUCGCGGCUUAUCAGCUUGUUGGUGGGGUAGUGGCUUACCAAGGCUUUGACGGGUAGCCGGCCUGAGAGGGUGACCGGCCACAUUGGGACUGAGAUACGGCCCAGACUCCUACGGGAGGCAGCAGUGGGGAAUAUUGCACAAUGGGCGGAAGCCUGAUGCAGCAACGCCGCGUGCGGGAUGACGGCCUUCGGGUUGUAAACCGCUUUCGCCUGUGACGAAGAGUGAGUGACGGUAAUGGGUAAAGAAGCACCGGCUAACUACGUG
rnacentral:rRNA from 1 species